rnacentral:rRNA from 1 species
AGUGAACGCUGGCGGUAGGCCUAACACAUGCAAGUCGAACGGCAGCACAGUAAGAGCUUGCUCUUACGGGUGGCGAGUGGCGGACGGGUGAGGAAUACAUCGGAAUCUACUUUUUCGUGGGGGAUAACGUAGGGAAACUUACGCUAAUACCGCAUACGACCUACGGGUGAAAGCAGGGGAUCUUCGGACCUUGCGCGAUUGAAUGAGCCGAUGUCGGAUUAGCUAGUUGGCGGGGUAAAGGCCCACCAAGGCGACGAUCCGUAGCUGGUCUGAGAGGAUGAGCAGCCACACUGGAACUGAGACACGGUCCAGACUCCUACGGGAGGCAGCAGUGGGGAAUAUUGGACAAUGGGCGCAAGCCUGAUCCUGCCAUACCGCGUGGGUGAAGAAGGCCUUAGGGUUGUUAAGCCCUUUUGUUGGGAAAGAAAAGCAGCAGGUUAAUACCCCGCUGUUCUGACGGUACCCAAAGAAUAAGCACCGGCUAACUUCGUG